rnacentral:rRNA from 2 species
AGGUUAAGUUACAAAGGGCGCACGGUGGAUGCCUUGGCACUAGGAGCCGAUGAAGGACGGAACUAAUACCGAUAUGCUUCGGGGAGCUAUAAGUAAGCUUUGAUCCGGAGAUUUCCGAAUGGGGGAACCCAGUACACAUCAGUGUAUUGCCUGCAAGUGAAUACAUAGCUUGUUGGCGGCAGACGCGGGGAACUGAAACAUCUCAGUACCCGCAGGAAGAGAAAGAAAACUCGAUUCCCAUAGUAGCGGCGAGCGAAGUGGGAAGAGCCCAAACCGAGAAGCUUGCUUCUCGGGGUUGUAGGACUGGACAUUGGAGUUACCAAAGUUCGACGUAGUCGAAGUCAGCUGGAAAGCUGCGCCAUAGAAGGUGAAAGCCCUGUAAACGAAACGGCGGACUCUCCGUCCAGGAUCCUGAGUACGGCGGAACACGUGAAAUUCCGUCGGAAUCCGGGAGGACCAUCUCCCAAGGCUAAAUACUCCCUAGUGACCGAUAGUGAACCAGUACCGUGAGGGAAAGGUGAAAAGCACCCCGGAAGGGGAGUGAAACAGUUCCUGAAACCGUGUGCCUACAAUUAGUCAAAGCCCGUUAACGGGUAAUGGCGUGCCUUUUGUAGAAUGAACCGGCGAGUUACGUUUGCCUGCGAGGUUAAGAUGAAAAGUCGGAGCCGGAGCGAAAGCGAGUCUGAACAGGGCGCUUCAGUAGGUAGAUGUAGACCCGAAACCAAGUGACCUACCCAUGACCAGGUUGAAGGUGUGGUGAAACACACUGGAGGACCGAACCCAUGUAUGUUGAAAAAUGCUGGGAUGAGUUGUGGGUAGCGGUGAAAUUCCAAACGAACUUGGAGAUAGCUGGUUCUCUCCGAAAUAGCUUUAGGGUUAGCCUCGGAGGAUGGAUCAUGGAGGUAGAGCACUGUUUGAACUAGGGGCCCGUCAAGGGUUACUGAAUUCAGAUAAACUCCGAAUACCAUUGAUCUUACUCCGGGAGUCAGACAGUGAGCGAUAAGGUCCAUUGUCGAAAGGGGAACAGCCCAGAUCACCAGUUAAGGUCCCUAAAUUUAUGCUAAGUGGAAAAGGAUGUGGCGUUGCACAGACAACUAGGAUGUUGGCUCAGAAGCAGCACCAUUUAAAGAGUGCGUAAUAGCUCACUAGUCGAGUGGCACUGCGCCGAAAAUAUACCGGGGCUAAGCAUAAUACCGAAACUGUGGGUGCACCCGUCAGGGUGCGCGGUAGGAGAGCGUUCUAAGGGCGUUGAAGGUCGAUCGUGAGGACGGCUGGAGCGCUUAGAAGUGAGAAUGCCGGCAUGAGUAGCGAAAGAUCAGUGAGAAUCUGAUCCACCGUAUGACUAAGGUUUCCUGGGGAAGGCUCGUCCUCCCAGGGUUAGUCGGGAUCUAAGGCGAGGCCGCAAGGCGUAGUCGAUGACAAGCAGGUUGAGAUUCCUGCACUAGUUUAUUUUGUUUAAGCGAUGGAGGGACGCAGGAGGCUAAGGAAAGCGCACGGCUGGAAAAGUGCGUCCAAGCAGUAAGUCUGGUAGCGAGUGAAAUGCUUGCCGCCUUAAGGACAAGCUGUGAUGGGGAGCGAAAUUAAAGUAGCGAAGUUCCUGAUGUCACACUGCCAAGAAAAGCUUCUAGUGAGAAAUAAACUACCCGUACCGCAAACCGACACAGGUAGUCGAGGAGAGUAUCCUCAGGUGAGCGAGCGAACUCUCGUUAAGGAACUCGGCAAAAUGACCCCGUAACUUCGGAAGAAGGGGUGCUGACCGCAAGGUCAGCCGCAGUGAAUAGGCCCAAACAACUGUUUAUCAAAAACACAGGUCUCUGCUAAAUCGUAAGAUGAUGUAUAGGGCUGACGCCUGCCCGGUGCUGGAAGGUUAAGAGGAUGAGUUAGCGCAAGCGAAGCCCAGAAUUGAAGCCCCAGUAAACGGCGGCCGUAACUAUAACGGUCCUAAGGUAGCGAAAUUCCUUGUCGGGUAAGUUCCGACCCGCACGAAAGGCGUAAUGAUUUGGGCACUGUCUCAACGAGAGACUCGGUGAAAUUAUAGUACCCGUGAAGAUGCGGGUUACCCGCGACAGGACGGAAAGACCCCAUGGAGCUUUACUGUAGCUUGAUAUUGAGUGUUGGUACCGCUUGUACAGGAUAGGUAGGAGCCGUAGAGAUCGGAACGCUAGUUUCGAUGGAGGCAUUGGUGGGAUACUACCCUAGCUGUAUGAACACUCUAACCCGCGCCACUAAUCGUGGCGGGAGACAGUGUCAGGUAGGCAGUUUGACUGGGGCGGUCGCCUCCUAAAAUGUAACGGAGGCGCCCAAAGGUUCCCUCAGAAUGGUUGGAAAUCAUUCGCAGAGUGUAAAGGUAGAAGGGAGCUUGACUGCGAGACUGACAAGUCGAGCAGGGACGAAAGUCGGGCUUAGUGAUCCGGUGGUUCCGUAUGGAAGGGCCAUCGCUCAACGGAUAAAAGCUACCCUGGGGAUAACAGGCUUAUCUCCCCCAAGAGUCCACAUCGACGGGGAGGUUUGGCACCUCGAUGUCGGCUCAUCGCAUCCUGGGGCUGUAGUCGGUCCCAAGGGUUGGGCUGUUCGCCCAUUAAAGCGGUACGCGAGCUGGGUUCAGAACGUCGUGAGACAGUUCGGUCCCUAUCCGUCGCGGGCGCAGGAAAUUUGAGAGGAGCUGUCCUUAGUACGAGAGGACCGGGAUGGACGUUCCGCUGGUGUACCAGUUGUGCCGCCAGGCGCAUCGCUGGGUAGCUAUGAACGGAAGGGAUAAACGCUGAAAGCAUCUAAGUGUGAAGCCCCCCUCGAGAUGAGAUUUCCCAUUCCUAUAUGGAAGUAAGACCCCUGAAAGAUGAUCAGGUAGAUAGGCUGGAAGUGGAAGUGCAGCGAUGCAUGGAGCGGACCAGUACUAAUCGGUCGAGGACUUAACCAAG